rnacentral:rRNA from 1 species
UACGAGGGGAGCUAGCGUUGUUCGGAAUUACUGGGCGUAAAGCGCACGUAGGCGGCUUUCUAAGUCGGGGUGAAAUCCUGGAGCUCAACUCCAGAACUGCCUUCGAUACUGGAGAGCUCGAGUCCGGGAGAGGUGAGCGGAACUGCGAGUGUAGAGGUGAAAUUCGUAGAUAUUGGGAAGAACACCGAUGGCGAAGGCAGCCAUCUGGACCGACACUGACGCUGAGGCGCGAAAGCGUGGGGAGCAAACAGG